rnacentral:rRNA from 1 species
CGGACGGGUGAGUAACACGUGGAUAACCUACCUAUAAGACUGGGAUAACUUCGGGAAACCGGAGCUAAUACCGGAUAAUAUAUUGAACCGCAUGGUUCAAUAGUGAAAGACGGUUUUGCUGUCACUUAUAGAUGGAUCCGCGCUGCAUUAGCUAGUUGGUAAGGUAACGGCUUACCAAGGCAACGAUGCGUAGCCGACCUGAGAGGGUGAUCGGCCACACUGGAACUGAGACACGGUCCAGACUCCUACGGGAGGCAGCAGUC